ACACCAUUUGCAGAUUGUAGAAAGAAAGAAGAAGGAUACAGAGAGAACAAAGACACAGAACGAGAGGAACGAUAGAAUCAGAGCAGUAAAGGGAGGGAGAUUUAUAAGAAUAAAGUGAGAGAGACAGUUGUGACAACCUAGGAAUGGAUUACCAUCAGCUCGGAGAUUAUAUCCGUAACUUUAGCCUUGACAACUGUGCUCAGGGUGGCCGAGGAUACAACCGGGUUCUCCUGCAGUUAUUUGGGUAUACAGGCCAUGGAAAGUCCUCCUUUAUUAACUCCUGUAAGUUUGUCUUAGACGGGGAGUAUGAAAUGAUGGCUGAGGCUGGAGUGACGUCACAUGGAGGUGCUCUCACCCUGGUGAGAAAAGCCUACAAACUAACAGACACCAUUUUCAUUGUGGAUAACAGAGGGUUUAAAAAAAUGGAUAACUUUGAGAAAAUACAGAUAAACAGCCAAUUGGGUAAGUUACAAUUGAUACAUUUAAUGUGUUAUUCAUUCAAACAGGAAAUCAGGACAACAAUGUAGAUGUUGAAUAUUUAGACAUGGGAGCUAGAGGUAUACUUAGGUCACUUGGCAUUUGGGGCAGAUAUGUACAUUGGAACCUCCUGUUAGACAUAAUUUAGCACAUGCCAUCCACUAUCUUAAGAUGUAAGCCAGCUUUAUUUAACUUGUGGCAGAGAAAAGAAUUAGAAAAUGUGUCACCGUCAUAUGAUUUAUGCUGAGUCAAACCUACUUAACCUACUUCGCCCUGCCAUUGUACCCCAAAUAAUUAUCCUCUUUAGCUUGUACCCAAUAUUGCCAUCUGCUACAGGAUUUGACUAGUGUCACAUAAUAGGGAGCUUUGAGUUUAGCUAAACAAGUCUUAAUCGUGAUAUAAUAAAGUAAGUGAUAUUUUAUAGACAUCAUUAACAUGUUUAAAGAUAGAACAGAGUGCAGUGUGAUAAUAUAUAUUCAUGCAGGAUUAAUGUAUGAUUAAUUAAGAGUACAGCAAUGUCAGGGUCAUCAUUCUGCACGAUGUAAGAUAAGCUAUUAACCAAUGAAUUGUGCUUAUCCUAACACUGUGCCAUCCAGGUAUAUCUACGAGUUUGUGAUUUUUCUUUUUUUUACCAUGUGGGCACUGGAGUGCUCCUUUAAAUAAAGAAUUGUAAAAUAUAGGGUACCAUUUUACCCCAUAGUUUCCUUUAAACAGGUCUUCUGCAUCUCCUAAGUAAUUACGUCAAAACUACUAUCCCAUAUCCUGUUGUUCACCCUCACAUUGCUGCUUAUGGUCUAAGAGAAAAUACCCCUCAUAGUAACUUGGGGGUCCAGGAACCAGUGGCAACUCUAUGGACAAUAUAUGGGGGGGCACAUUAGACAUCAUUCUCAAAACUGUGGGUGGGUGGUGGGCACAAAUAAUUUACACUGGGGAGUGGGGUAAUGUUCUGCCAUUGGUGUCAGCAUGCUGGAGUCACACAACAAAUGUCGGCAUCAUUCACAUUAGCCACCUGGCAUAUCUGUUCUGGUAUUGGCUCAUGACAUCUUUAGCAGAUAACUCCCUAUUUGCUAUCUUUAUGUGGGAUUGCAAUACUUACACACCAAAUAAGGGAACUAUCUGUUAAACAUCACCCUAAUUUGUUAUCAUCAAGUAUGAAAAUCCCACACAAGGGUACCAAUUUAGGGAGUUAUCUACUAAACAGCUGAAAGAUCAAAAUUAAAGGGACACCAGGGCCGCCAUCAGAAAUUUUGGGGCCCCUGACAAAGCACCAGGUUUGGGCCCCCCCCCCGGGCCCGCACACGCCCUACCUGGUCCGCUGACAAUGAUGCAGGACUGAAUGUGGUGUGUAUAGUGGAAGUGAAUUAGAAUAUGUGUAAUGGAUGUAGUGUUUGUGUGUAUUAGAUACUGUUUGUACAGUGAAUGCAGAGUGUGUGUUUGAGUAGUGGAUAUAGUGUGUGUACAGUGAUGUAGUGUGUGUUUGUGUAGUGGAUGUAGUGUUUGUAUGUACUAGAUGAAAUGUGUUUAGUGGAUGUAGUGCGUGUAUUAGACGCAGUGUCUGUGUAUAGUGAAUGCAGAGUGUUUCAAUGUGUGGUGGAUGUAGUGUGUGUACUGUGAAUACAGGAUGUUUGUGUAGUGGAUGCGUGUUAAUGCAGAGUGUAUGUUAGUGUAGUGAAUGCAGAUUGUGUGUCAGUAUAGUGAAUCCAUAGUGUAUGCAUAGUUUAGUGAAUGCAGAGUGUGUGUUAGUGUGUAGUGAAUGCAGAGUGUGUCAGUUAAUGCAGAGUGUAUGUUAGUGUAGUGAAUGCAGAUUGUGUGUCAGUAUAGUGAAUCCAUAGUGUAUGCAUAGUUUAGUGAAUGCAGAGUGUGUGUUAGUGUGUAGUGAAUGCAGAGUGUGUCAGUGUAAUGAAUGUAGUGUGUGUGUUAGUGCAGUGAAUGCAGAGUGUGUGUAAAUUUGUAGUGAAUGCAGAGUGUGUGUUAUGUGUAGUGAAUGCAGAGUGUGUGUUAAUGUGUAGUGAAUGCAGAGUGUGUGUUAGUGUAGUGAAUGCAGAAUGUGUUAAUGUGUAGUGAAUGCAGAGAGUGUGUUAGUGUGUAGUGGAUGCAGAGUGUGUGUUAGUGUGUAGUGGAUGCAGAGUGUGUGUUAGUGUGUAGUGGAUGCAGAGUGUGUGUUAGUGUAGUGAAUGCAGAGAGUGUGUUAAUGUGUAGUGAAUGCAGAGAGUGUGUUAGUGUGUAGCGGAUGCAGAGUGUGUGUUAGUGUAGUGAAUGCAGAGAUUGUGUUAGUGUGUAGCGGAUGCAGAGUGUGUGUGUUAGUGUGUAGCGGAUGCAGAGUGUGUGUGUUAAUGUGUAGUGAAUGCAGAGUGUUAAUGUGUAGUGAAUGCAGAGAGUGGGUUAGUGUGUAGCGGAUGCAGAGUGUGUGUUGUGUUAGUGGAUGCAGCAUGUGUGUGUGUGUUUGUUGUGUUAGUGUAUGCAGUGUGUGUGUGUGUUGUGUUAGUGUAUGCAGUGUGUGUUGUGUGUUAGUGUAUGCAGUGUGUGUUGUGUGUUAGUGUAUGCAGUGUGUGUUGUGUUAGUGUAUGCAGUGUGUGUUAGUGUAUGUGUGUUGUGUUAGUGUAUGCAGUGUGUGUGUUUGUGUUAGUGUAUGCAGUGUGUGUGUUGUGUGUUAGUGUAUGCAGUGUGUGUUGUGUUAGUGUAUGCAGUGUGUGUUGUGUGUUAGUGUAUGCAGUGUGUGUUGUGUUAGUGUAUGCAGUGUGUGUUGUGUGUUAGUGUAUGCAGUGUGUGUUGUGUGUUAGUGUAUGCAGUGUGUGUUGUGUAAAUGUGUGAUCUGGGGGGGGUGGGGGGAGGUGGAGGAAUGGGCAUUUUAACAUUAAUUUUUAAUUAAUUUAAUUAAAUGUUUCUCCCCCUUCCCUGCUUACCUGUAUCCAGGGAGGGGGGAGACUCCAUCUGUGGUGGCCCGGUGGCAUGGGGCCCCCCGGCUCUCUGUUACCGUCCGCAGAGGGGGCCCAGGCAGCACACAGCUUCUCCUCCUGUCUGCUCUCUUCUAAUAACUCUCGCGAGACCUGCGGAGUGUUGCCAUGGUAACCGGGUCUCGCGAGAGUUAUGAGGAGAGAGAGGAGGAGAAGCUGUGUGUUGCCUGGGCCCCCUCUGCGGUAACAGGGAGCCGGGGGCCCGCGGCUGCACACAUAGAUAGCGAGAUUCGCUAUCUAUGUGUGCAGCAAGGGAAAGUGGGGCCCAGGACUGCCAGAGCAGUCCGGGCCCCCCAGGGCCGCCGGGCCCGUGACAACUGUCACGGUUGUCACCCCCUGAUGGCGGCCCUGAGGGACACUAUAGUCACCUGAACAACUACAGCUCAAUGAUAAGAGAAAAUGCAGUGUUUAUAUUGCCCCUAGGGACACCUCCAAGUGGCCACUCCUCAGAUGGCCACUGGAGGUGCUUCCUGGCUCAUGAGAUGCAUUGAUUGAAAGAAUCUCUAUGAAGAGGUGCUGAUUGGCCAAAACGACAUUUGGCCCCUCCUCCUUGCCGAUUUUAGCCAGUCCAAUGUUUUCCCCAUUGGCUCAAAAUCGGCAAUUUUGAUGAUGCAAAGAAAAUAAGAAAUAGAACCAAAGAACAGAUAAAGCUCUAAAGCAAAAAGCUGCCACCCUCUAGGUACACUCUAAAAACCUAUAAUAAACAUAAAUGGAAAAAGAAAGGAAGGUGGAAUAAAAUCCCACCUAUUUUUUAAAUGUUAUAUUAUAUUUUUUUGAGUCUUUUGCUAAAUUUUAUUUUUUAGAGCUAAUUAUUAGAUUUUUUUAUAUAUCUGAUUAUUUUUUUCAUACAUAUGUUCAGUUUGUGGCACGCUUAGGUUAUAUCAUUCUGCCUGUAAGCAUCCAUUGUUACGAAUAGAUUGACACAUGCAACUGCUACUUAUGUAGCUUAUAUGUUUCAACGUGUCUCUCCAUUCGGAUGCUAAUAAAGUUUCAACACGCAUCAAUUUGGCUACGCAUGCGCAUUGGUCAUUUCCCGAUAGUGAUUGGAGGCGGGCGCAUUGAAGUUGUGUUCCGGCAACAAUCUCGACGGAAGCCGGUGUCCUUUUGCGCAUGCGCAAUGACUUAAUUGAGCGCGAAAAUGUGAAGAUAAAAGAAGACUCCGGAAGAACUGAAGAUAUACACAGCUCCUGAGGAAGUCCUGAACAAAGCGGGACGAAACACGUUGAGCCUCAUCUAUCAUCCAAUUUAAGUCCAGAGACCACAAUAUCACCACUACCGAUCGAGUUUGCAAGUAUUUUUCAGCCCUGGAAGUCGCGACCAAGGGCAGUUCAGUUCAUCUUUUUACCUAUUACUGUUUUGUUUAGUGGUUGAUGCCGGGUUUUUGUUCCCAGGUCUCAUAAUAGGACUGUAUAUUGUUACCAUAUUUACAUUGGAUGUUUAUGCACUUUACUAUUUACUCCCUUUUUUAUAUAUUUAUUGCACUGUGAUGCAAAAUAAAUUGUAUUUUUAUACUAUCUAUUUUUCGAAGUCUCCGUAGAGUAUUUACUCUUUUACAUUUAUAGUCCUCCAUUAGACUAUCAUUUUCUCUAGUGCUUAGCGCCCCCAUUAGGUGGGAUUUUAUUCCACCUUCCUUUCUUUUUCCAAUUUUGAUGAUGCCACCAAGGGGGCGGAGCUAGCACCGGAAGAGCGCGGCACUGGAAAUAAGGUGAUUUUUACUAAGUUUUAAGGGAGCUGAGGGGUGGAAAGCCACCUAAAUGGUGGGUUUAGCACUAUAGGGUCAGGAACACGUGGUUGAGUUCCUGGCCCUAUAGUGGUCCUUUAAGAAAAGCCCCUUUUGUAAUUUUUAUCUUUCACUUGUUUAGUAGAUGUCACAAUACAGCCCUGGAUUCUCUGGCCCUGAAGGUGGACCAGUUCAGGCCUAGAAUUUCCCAUGGGAUUCUUUGCAUUAGCCUGUACUUUUCCCGUUAGCUGUUCCUGAUUAUUAUUAUUAUUAUUAUUAUUAUUAUUAUUAUUAUUAUUAUUAUGUGCUUUAGAUCUGUUUGUGAAAUAUAGGUCCCCUUUCUUUCGGUGUUUAUUUGCUGAAUGUUAUAUUUUACAAAUUACAAUUUUUUUAAAUUAAAGUUCGAAUUAUUUUACAUCUUCCUGUUUUGAUUUCUUGCAGCAAAUUUACUCCCUCUUAAUCAGGAGGUGAAGUGGGCUGAAGAACAUGAUGACAUUUUAUGUAUUAUAAAUAGAAAAUCAGACUCCGA